rnacentral:lncRNA from 1 species
GCUAGGUCAACUUGAGGAGUCCAGAGAGGUGAUGCAGAAACCACGGCCCAGGGAAGACGCAGCUUGAGCAAGGUCACCGGCAGUUUCCUUUGCAGUAAAAUGGGAAUAAAAAGAAAAUCUACGUAACAGUAGAUAUUCUGUGAGGAUUACGUGAAUUCAUAUUUGAAGAGUGAGUAGAAGGGUUCCUGGCACAAGCUCUACAAGUGUGGCUGGAAUGAAUAUGAUGAUGAGGAUGAAGAUGAGGAUGGCGGGGCUGGAGCUCAAGUGCCAUACUGUGUCCUGGAGCAGAAGCCACGUGUUGAGGACAGUCUGGACCCUUAACGAGGGUUGAGCCACGACACCAGCCUGUGACUGUUUACCUCUUGAGUUUGUUUACAGGAGAAGAAAAUAAACUCUCACCUUGUUUAACACAC